UUCCCACAGGACCGAUCAGUCAGAGAACGAUACACUCGUGUUUUGUCCUCAUCCUAAUAUGGGUAAUUAGAUAGAAACCAGAGUGAUGCACACACCCACACAAGCAUCUAGUUCCCGGACGAAGAAGAGCCAGCGAAAGUUGCUCCUCACAAGUGGCCAUAUUUGCAGGCAUCAUAAAUACCCAUUUCAGUGAUCUUAUCGUUAAUCGCACGCCUCUUCUAUUAUAGAAUGCUUUCGUAAUGCACCGUUUCCAGAGGAUUCAGAAAACAAAUGCAACAAAACCUGUCCCAUGUCGUGUUGGUGUUGGAACCGGCCGUGAUUCGAGAGUCCGCAUCGGGUUGAGUGGAUUGAAAAUGUCCGAAAUUAGGAAUUCUAAGUGUGACGUGACCCACCCGAUACCGUCAAAUAUCCGCAAUUUCCACGACAGAAAGAGCAAAGAUUGAUGCAAAGCUCCGGCCAAAGUUAUUCUUCCGUGGUAGUUUGACAUAAUUAUAGACGUGCUUCGGGAACAAGCGAUACGCGAUUAGCGUAGAAAUUUAGCACACUAGUCGAAGAAUAGCUACUAGACCAAUGUCUGUCCUGACUAGCACCAGGUCUUGAAUGCGGCACGCGUUUUCACAUCGAGGAUAAGGCGCGUCGAGCAGGCAGGACAAGAGCAUGUAGCAGCAGCAACACAUAAAAUCUGAUAUGUGACCUACCCGUCCAUUUCCCCGCACAUUCUUACAGCAGAGAAAACGGACGCUCUCUCGCACUCCAAUUCGAUAGCUUCCUCGAGCUACCGGACUGCUUCCGAUGAUUGGAAUUUUUAUCAUCUUCACAACUUACUCACAGACACAGUCCCGGCGGUUUGCUCCUUGGAGAGUUUGCAUAGGCCGUUUGUCUUUGGAUUUCUUACCGUUUCCACUUGUACCCGCCGCAAGAAAGUCGAAGAGAAUGGCAAAUUUUCCGCUUGAAAAAUGAUUCGAAUAAAAGGAAAAAGAGCAUGCCCUGCAUCGGAAGGCCAACAACAGCCGUGUGGUGGUAGUAUGGGCACGUUAAACCGGAAACAAGGCACGUAGCGUCGGCCCGUUGGCGACAGUUUUUCCCCUGCGUGAUUCUUCGACGUGCCGAACACAGCAACAGGAGAGUGGAGAGAGCGGGCGGGCGGAAGGAGACAUGGGAUUUUCGAACGGGGAACUUUCCCUCCUUUUCGCUGUUCCGGGGAUGGAGAUUUUGCAUCAAUUUUCUUUUACACUCGGACGGAGCCGACCGUCGACGUCCUGUCGAGUUUGGGGCCGAUGAUUGGACCACCCCAUGCCCAGAUGCCGGUGGUGCAUCAGGGUGCUGAAGAGAUAAAUUGAUUGUUGUAAAGUUCGGACCGGGACUGCUACCAUUCUGCCGAGGGCCAACGGAAGACGUUUCUUGCCUGGUAUUGGAGGCGAGUUCGAUUCGAGCAGACUUACUGUCGUCGGGCGGUUUUUUUUGUCCUCUUCUCUGAUUAUGUUAGAAGAAUGAACAAAUAGCAGCAGCAUCGGAUGGGUCGCACUCGAAUAAGACAAAGCCUCCCGAGGUUGUUGCUACUGUUGCCAUCGGAUCGGCCACCAGUUCGAACGAAUUUUUAAUAUCCCAAAAACCUACUGAACUCU